UACGUAGGGUGCAAGCGUUGUCCGGAAUUAUUGGGCGUAAAGAGCUCGUAGGCGGUUUGUCGCGUCCGCUGUGAAAAACUCGGGGCUUAACUCCGGGCCUGCAGUGGGUACGGGCAGACUAGAGUGCGGUAGGGGAGACUGGGAAUUCCGUGGUGUAGCGGGUGAAAUGACGCAGAUAUCAGGAGGAACACCGGUGGCGAAGGCGGGUCUCUGGGCCGAACUGACGCUGGAGGUGACGAAAGCGUGGGGAGCAAACAGG
rnacentral:rRNA from 1 species